GCAAGGCUAAAACUCAAAGGAAUUGACGGGGCCCCGCACAAGCGGCGGAGCAUGCGGCUUAAUUCGAUGCAACCCGAAGAACCUUACCUGGAUUUGACAUGAUGGGUCUAGCUGUGGAAACACAGUGUGCUUAGGCGCUCAUCACAGGUGGUGCAUGGCUGUCGUCAGCUCGUGUCGUGAGAUGUUGGGUUAAGUCCCGCAACGAGCGCAACCCUUGUCCUAUGUUGCCAGCACGUAAUGGUGGGGACUCAUGGGAGACUGCCGGAGACAACUCGGAGGAAGGCGAGGACGAUGUCAAGUCAUCAUGCCCCUUAUAUCCAGGGCUGCACGCAUGCUACAAUGGGCGGUACAGUGGGCCGCGAUCUCGCAAGAGUGAGCCAAUCCCUCAAAGCCGUCCCCAGUUCGGAUUGAAGUCUGCAACUCGACUUCAUGAAGCCGGAGUCGCUAGUAAUCGUGGAUCAGCUAUGCCACGGUGAAUACGUUCUCGGGGCUUGUACACACCGCCCGUCACAUCACGGAAGUCGGUAACACCCGAAGUCAGUGGCCUAACCCUUUAUUGGGAGGGAACUGCCUAAGGUGGGAUUGGUAACUGGGAUGAAGUCGUAACAAGGUA
rnacentral:rRNA from 1 species